GUCUGGGAACCAAAAACACCCAGAGAGAAGGUCAACACUUUCUGCCUAUGGCUGCCUGGACUCAGACAUCUCCAGCUAUGGCCAGAGCUGUGAGGAGUAAGAAGGGUUGGAUAGAGUGACGUGGCAAGUGAGAACUACAGGGCUUUCUUACUGAAGGGGAAAGAAAGGAAGAUGUGUAGGCCUCAAUAUAACAGUGGACAAGUGGGGCAGGCAGAAAUGCACGGACAAGCGCAUCGCUGGAGGGAGCCAGCAGAAGGUGCAUCAUUCUGAGGGGCCAUGGAGAAGUCCACUUGCUUAUUUCCAGCCCCCAUGUAUGAGCUUCUGGUCUCUAAAAGAAGGGAGAGAACUCCCAGUACAAAGGAUUCCAUCAUAUCAUAAAGACAACAAAGAACAGAAUACAGAAGGUUGGCAGCUUAGAACUGAAGAAGGCAGGAGAGUUCUCAUCCCUUCUAAGGAGGCAACAGCUGCAGCAGUUCUGCAUGGGGCUGCAAGGAAAACUGUACAGGAUGACAGGGUGCUUACCCAAGCUGCCACACAGCCUCAACCAGAAGGAUGCCCUGCAGUACAUUUUUCAAGUUCCCUGGUAGCUAAGGACCAACAUCUAACAAUGGCUGCCUUUCAUCUUAGGUAAUUCCAGCAUUCCUGGUAUACUGACUGGUCACCUUGCCAGGACUCUGCUGUACCCUCUACUCUCUCUGGUGAUUGACCUCUACAAAUCCAGGGACCUCACAGAGUCUGCAGCAGAAUUUAGUGGUGGCUAGUUGCUACUGUAGCAGCAGUGAGAGCUUCUGUGUUCUAGACAUUUAAAGAUAAGCCCCCAAUCCCCAACCCCAAAUGAGAAACACAAAGAACACAGGCAACAGUCUUUGAAGAUAAAAUUCCUCCUUGGUCCAGAUCACUACUACAAGGAGAAAAUGGCCAAUUUCCUCCAGCUUAGAAAAAGCUCUGGCCCUCUGAAAUGCUCCCCCAGUGAUAAAUGAUAGGCAGCAGCCAGGACGAGGCAGCCCUGGAGCCAAGUCCAAGUAACAGUAGAAGGAAAGACUGCCCACAAAUCCAGACUGGGUCAUGCAAUUUCCUCUGUCAGUUCCACUCCCUGGCCUCUUCGUUCAGUCAUUAGCUUGAGCACCAUACCACCUGUCCAAGGGCUGGCACCAAAUGCUGGCUACAGUAGAUGGAUAGGCCCGGCACAGGCUGCAGGCCCCUCAACCUGGUGCUGAAUGGUAGGGGCGGUCCAUGGGAGAGGGCUGGAUUCUGAAGUCCUUCACUGUCCUCCAGAUAAAAGAGCAAAGCCAUGCCAGCUCCCAUGGAGCUGAGGAGCACUCUGGGGAGGAUGGUGAGCUGCCUGAGACAAGAGGACAAGGAAGAAAGGAAAGCAGCUUUCCUGGGCAGCUCGUACCUAGAGCCUCACAGUCAUUGGGGACAUGGGCCCAUUCAACUCCUUUAGUCCUUAUCACAGGAUCCCUGGGAAGUGGAUAGCCACACACUCUAGAGGUAAGGAAACAGGCUGAGAGUAAGUGACUUGCCUGAGAUCACUCAGCUUUUAUGUGGUAGGGUCAGAUAUGAAUCUGUUUACCAAAUUCCAAUGCACCUUUUCUAUAUCCAUAGCUCUUUAAGUUGCAGUGUUGUUCCCUCUAAACUCUGCACUCUAAGAAAAACCAGGCCUUCCAUCUGUCUUACUAGAGAAACCUUACCCGAAACAAAGUCUCCUUCAAAGCUUCCCCACAAACAAGAAAACCCUCUCUGAGAAAACAAGAACUUCAGGCUUAGUCCCAAAUUCUUCUUGGCCUUGGUACCUUGUGUCAGCUUUUCCAACUUGCCCUUCACCACACAGGACCACACUCCCUUAAACCUCUGUUGUAGCAAAGUUCAACCUGUGAGCAGCUCUGUGAGGGUGCAUCGCUGCUCAUCCAACAGCUCCCAUUAUCAGUGUCAGACCAAGUCUAUGUUCCUCUUCCAUCUAAUGUUCCUCCAAAGAGGCCAAGAACCACAAGAACCUGCUGUGAAUCCUGUGUUGGAGGUGCUUGGUGGUCUUGCUAGUGAUCUCACUGGUACCAAGUCCCCUGUUAAACUUUCCUACAGUUAGACAUGAUGGUACUGGUCAGUCUGGCUAAAAGGAACAAAAGAGCUUCCAGGACAAACCCACCAGGUAUCCAGGCUGAGAAGGAGAUUCUAUAUGGAAAGAAUAAUGAUGAAGUAGAAAACCAGCUGCUGUCAACUGCAUAUAAAACUAACUCAAGACUUCAUUUAUCACAAAGCAGGUGAAGCAGGAGCGAGGGCGGAAUCUCAAGAUGUUUUCUUAUUGUACUCAUAAGUCCUGUUCCCUUAUAUGCAUAGCUCUGCAUUGUUGGUUAUGAGAGAAUAAAGAAGGAAUUCAUUCUUUAGAA